rnacentral:rRNA from 1 species
ACGGCAGGUCAGCAUGCCCCNNAACCCCCGGNCUGCACGCGNGCUGCAAUNNCGGGGACAGCGGGAUCCGACCCCGNAAGGGGGAGGCAAUCCNGUAAACCCCGCNCCAGUAGGGAUCGAGGGCUGCAACUCGCCCUCGUGAACGUGGAAUCCCUAGUAACCGCGUGUCACCAACGCGCGGUGAAUACGUCCCUGCCCCU